AUGGUCGUCCAUCCUGCCUUCCCCGAGAUGCUGAGCAAGGCCACCUGGCCCUGCCUCCAGUACUUUGCCGCGAGGGGGGGGGGGCACAAAGGUGACCUCACUGACCCCGCCCCUGACUCCACCCCUUGUGAUGACCCCACCACUGACCCACAGGCCUUGGAGGGGCUGAUCCUGGAGAAGUCAAAGGACCAGGAGGACGCCAUGGGGGGUGCUGUACAGGCUGAGCAGGAAGCAGAGCAGCACAGCGUCAUCAUGAGGGUAGCCAUCUUCACCUGGGGCAUCCACGGAGGCCCUGCCCAGGAAGUGACUUUCUCUCUACUGUAGGAGGAGCUGAUCCACGACUACUUGGACAACAGCACACCAGCGAAGGAUGGUGGAAGAAAAGUGUUUUGAAACUGACCCUACAGAUAAAAGAGUUCAUCAUGAAUGCGAUACCCUCCUAUACAGUUGUUAGAAGCAACCCUCCAUCUCCAACUCCAAAAAUAAAUGAAAACCAAACCACACAGUUGGAAAUCAGCAAGAAGAGAACCGGAUGGUGGAUGGCAGCAGAUGGACAGGAGAGCACUCAGCAGCACUUGCUCUUCCAGCCCGUCACGCCUCCUCCACUGCUGAUAUCUACGUUUUCACUGUUGGGUUCUUUUACAGGGGUCUGCAACAACACAAGGAAGCAAGCAACCCGUGAGAAAGCACUGGCAUGGAUGAAAACAGACUCACUGGAAAGAUGCAAAGCAAUGUCAGGUUACACAACAAAAGGCAAUUACAGUCAUAUGAGGGAGUG
ensembl:antisense Rab10os RAB10, member RAS oncogene family, opposite strand